rnacentral:rRNA from 1 species
UACAGAGGGUGCGAGCGUUGUCCGGAAUCACUGGGCGUAAAGGGCGCGUAGGUGGCCAGGUAAGUAGGAGGUGAAAUCUCAUGGCUCAACCGUGAGGCUGCCUUCUAGACUGCUCGGCUUGAGCAUGGUAGAGGCUGGCGGAAUUCCCGGUGUAGCGGUGGAAUGCGUAGAGAUCGGGAAGAACAUCGGUGGCGAAGGCGGCCAGCUGGGCCAUUGCUGACACUGAGGCGCGAAAGCGUGGGGAGCAAACAGG